GCAGGGUGUACAUGGAGCUAGUCCACCCUACACAGAGGAGUGUACAGUGGAGCUGGAGAUCUCACUAGGUCGAUCAACUAGGACUGUGGACUAAAGGACCUGGACUCAGAUUUGGGGGAGAGGAAAAAUUGGGUAAAUGAGAAGACAUCAAUAAAUAAAGCAAUAUCAGAACAACAGGAAGGACAGAACACUAAUAUUAUCAAGAGCAAUUAUCAGGUUCUAUCCACUAUGUCAUGUCUCUGCAAAUUGCAGUUCAGUAAAAUGAUUCCUUGCUCCAGACCUCCAAAUGUGACCAUCUCAGCUUGUUCAAAAGUCUUUGGACUGUCACCAGUUUUCUGUGCUACAGGACAAGUGGAGUUCAAUGGCUUGAGAUAUAUGGUUGCCAAUAUUUAAUGAGAUGGUCCUCAAAAUAAAAUGAAGGCAUGCAACUUGUAAGUUCUCAGUA